GAGUCAAUAUGAUUAGCGCUAGUAUAACAGAAUUCUGGCUGCUGCCCUUUGUCAUAUCUUAACAAACAAACACUUUUUGUAUUUUUUUUUUUCUGUUUAGAAAAAGAGCAGAAGAUGGAGAGUCUGGUGAAUUCGAAUGAGAUUAGCAGAUUAAAAUGAAUACAGAGACUAUAUCCAUAGCAUUAUAUGAGUUUCAGUUCAUCAGUGGAGCAUCACAGUUUAUCAGGUGGAGGAAAAACCAGGAGGAAUGGAAGAGAUCACAGCACACCUGAAGAAAAGUAGGUCCAGUCUCCACCAGGGAUUGAGAGUUUUUUCGGUGUGGGUACAGGAUCCAUGAAUGAAAACACCAUCUUUGUUCCCAUCAACGGCAUUGGAUGCAAAGCCGUUUCCAUAGAGGGAAGUCUGUGUAGCUCUCCCUUUUAAAGCCACAUUUUCACCUAAAACGACAGAUGAGUUCCAAGUGAAUGAACAAAUAACUUGUCUUACAGUCUAGAAUACAU